rnacentral:misc_RNA from 1 species
GUCUUUUGUUUUGUUUUUGUGGGUAUGUGUUUAAAUUAAGUUUACAAAGGGGUUGUUUUUAAAAGAAAGGCGUCUCGUCCGGCAAAAGAAAGGAGAGAUCCCUUCUCGUGCAAAGACGAGACGACCCAGUGCUCACAGGGGUGUAUAUUUUUGUCAGUUUUCACUGAUGAUCCUUCCGCAGGUUCACCUACGGAAA